UACGAAGGGGGCGAGCGUUGUUCGGAAUUACUGGGCGUAAAGGGCGCGUAGGCGGCGACUCAAGUUAGAUGUGAAAGUCCUGGGCUUAACCUGGGGACUGCAUUUGAUACUGGGUUGCUUGAAUUCGGGAGAGGAUAGCGGAAUUCCCAGUGUAGAGGUGAAAUUCGUAGAUAUUGGGAAGAACACCGGUGGCGAAGGCGGCUAUCUGGACCGACAUUGACGCUGAGGCGCGAAAGCGUGGGGAGCAAAC
rnacentral:rRNA from 1 species